CCCUUAGAUGUUCUGGGCCGCACGCGCGCUACACUGUUUGACGCAGCGAGUCUUAACCUGGUCUGAUAGGGCUGGGUAAUCUUUUGAAAGUGCAUCGUGUUUGGGAUAGAUGAUUGCAAUUCUUCAUCUUCAACGAGGAAUGCCUAGUAAACGCAAGUCAUCAGCUUGCAUUGAUUACGUCCCUGCCCUUUGUACACACCGCCCGUCGCUCCUACCGAUUGAAUGAUCCGAUGAAUACCAUGGAUUGAGAGUACGAAUGGGUUCGCUCAUUUCUGCUGCUCGAGAAGUGGAGUAAAUCUUAUCAUUUAGAGGAAGGAGAAGUCGUAACA
rnacentral:rRNA from 1 species